rnacentral:rRNA from 1 species
GUCCGAGCGUUAUCCGGAUUUAUUGGGUUUAAAGGGAGCGUAGGUUGACGUAUAAGUCAGCUGUGAAAGUUUACGGCUCAACCGUGAAAUUGCAGUUGAUACUGUAUGUCUUGAGUGUACAAGAGGUGGGCGGAAUUCGUGGUGUAGCGGUGAAAUGCUUAGAUAUCACGAAGAACUCCAAUUGCGAAGGCAGCUCACUGGGAUACAACUGACACUGAGGCUCGAAAGUGUGGGUAUC